rnacentral:rRNA from 1 species
GACGAAGGAUGCAAGCGUUAUCCGGAUUCAUUGGGCGUAAAGAGCUCGUAGGCGGCUGCUCAAGUCGAAUGUGAAAACUCGAGGCUCAACCUCGAGCCUGCAUUCGAUACUGGGCGGCUAGAGUCUGGUAGGGGGAUCUGGGAUUCCUGGUGUAGCGGUGGAAUGCGCAGAUAUCAGGAGGAACACCGGUGGCGAAGGCGGGAUCCUGGGCCAGUACUGACGCUGAGGAGCGAAAGCGUGGGGAGCAAACAGG